rnacentral:lncRNA from 10 species
UAUUAUGUGUGGCUCCAGAACGUGAAACAGAAACCAAUAGGUAAGUUACUGGAGGGUUCAGAUUUCAGCACAGCACAAGGAAGAACUUUCUAACAAUCAGAGCUCCUGAGAAACCAUCAGAGCUCAGUCUGAAGCUAGGCGAUCAUCCAUUCAGGAUGCUGGUGAGCGGGGAUAGACACCUACAGCACACAGAGGCCGUAUCAGACAUGGACGUUCCCUUGCCAGCUCUGCGACCCUAAGGUUUCAGAAUUACAAAGAUGAGACUCUAACCAGACUGCAAGCAGACAGGCAGGCAUGACAGAUGAGGAAACUGAGGCCUAGGGAGAUGAGUACAUGUCUAAUCUACCCAAAAGCAAGGCAGCCCAGGUCUUGUCAAUGCCCAGUCCAAUGCUCCACCCACCAGGCCUCAAGCAAAGUAGUACAUAGCUGAAGUCAGGGUCCCAGUAAAAUAAAUCCUAAGAAUCCCGAAAGGAAGCACUGGCCCAGUACUAAAGGGCAGACAGGAGGCUGCACCAACUUCCACUCAGGCCCUGUGACCUUCAUAUCUGGUUUGUCCUCUCCUGGGAGCCAUCCACAUGUGUCAUCCAAUACCAUAAGUGGUCAGGAGAAUGGUGCACAGGGGGUACUGGGCCCAAUCCUAACCCGGCUCCCUGAGGCCUCUGGGCUCAGUCAGUGGGUUAUGGAGACUCACCCCAUGAGCACCUGGCUGGGCCUGAAGUGGGAUGGGGACCUCACAGUGAAGGAACGACAUGUUCUUUCACUCAAACAUAGACAUAUUUGAUUCUCAAACAAGAAAAAGAGCCUGCCAUGUGACAGAAUGCACCACCUACCUUUGGUUCCAGUCGGGAAAACGGCUGCACUCACAGCUAUGUGGCCCUUGAGGACAUAUGUGAAGCAUUCCUGCAAAGAAAACCCAGGGGCAUGUUGCAGAAUGGGGACAGAUGUCUAAUCCUGUAGUUUUCUGGUAGUUCAGAAAAUCCUGCCUGCUAAAGUUUUUAGCAAUAUCAUAGAGAAAAUGUAAGUAAAAAGAAAAAAAUCUGGUGGAAAAAAAGCCUGGCCACGGGACCAAUUUCCCAGAAAAUCUUGAAAUUCAAUUUAGUAGAAGAGCACUGUCAGAGAGAUGACCCCACAUGACUUUAUAAUGAACACUCUGACAUACUCCAUCAUGUGAGCCUUAGAAAGAAUGGAAAAGUAAUAAAAAGUACUGAUGACCCUAGCUAACAUUACUGAGCUAUCCUCUGUGCCACGCACUAUUCUAAGCACUGUAUGUUUGAUCCCACACUUCACGAUGGAGGCACUACUGUUAUCCUCGCUUCACAGAGAGAUUCAGUAGCAUGCCCAGAUCACACAGUGCCUAAGUGGCAGCAUCUGGCCUUGGAGCCAGGCACUCUUGCUUCAACAGCUGUGCUCCCUACCACCAUCCUAUCUUCAGGGGUUAUCCCCACUGUCCGGACAAGAGAAGUGCUACUCAGAAGUGUAGCAGCUUGCCAGUAAGGUGCAGAGUCAGGACUAAAACUCCAUGCUCCUCAGCCUGGUUGAGCUCUUUGAAAAGCACAAAAAGAGUCACACCAAAAGAAUCCUAGACGCAAGGUCCAAAUUCUUCUAAGGCACUGGUGAAUACAAAUGGAAAAGGCAAGGGACCAAGACAAUGAAACCUGCCCCACUACAUUGCAUAAAACCCUUUUCCUUGGAUAAUCUUCCUGAAGGAGCUCUCUUGGACAAACAGAUUCACUUAGGUGCUCAAUCAGCAUUUGCUGAGCAGUGACUAUGAUCCAGGAACUUGCUGGGCUCAUGGGAAUUCACAGCCACCCGGGAAGGUGGGUCCUUUUAUCCUCAUUUUUAUGGAUGGUGACUGCUUUGUUCAACGUCACAGAGCUAGUAAAUGGCACAGAAGCUCUGAAGCCAGGUCUCCAGACCCCUAGUACACAUCUCUCUGCCUCACAGCUCUCUUUCCCCUUUCCAUGCCAAUCAUACCAGAAACUUAAUAGAGUCUGUCAUUUCAGAAAGUUUCCAGAGAGUUAAGCCUGUAAAUAAGAAUCUCAAAAAAAGAAGGGGGUGGCCUUCAAAAUCAAAUCUAGGCACUGCUUAUAAAGCAUGUAUUUCACUCUCUCAUCCCCAGCCUCAAAGGCAUUUCCUGACUCAAGAGAAGGCCAAAGCUAUUAUAUUUAAACUUACACCUGAGCUGCCCUAACCUUAGCAGAAUGCUUUAAAAAUUUCUCCAAAUGUCUUAUUCCAAUAAUUAGUUAAAUGAACCUCGUAAAGCAGAUAAGCCUGACUCCACAGCAAGGAGCAAUUUUACUACCCCACAUGUAAUUUUUACUUCUUUAUACAAUCCCUUUUCAUAAAAGCAAUGCUCUUCUUAAGAAAGCAGAGAGGACCUCUUGAGUUUUUUACCUCCACCUUACCUUCUCGUAGGCUGUAGGGGUCCCAAAAUGCAUUGUCCGCGUCACAUCUGUGGUGCCAUCCCUUUCCAAAAAAAGGACAAAUUGGUUUCCCGUCAAAAUAAGCUUUAAGUCAAAUAUGACACAGGCAAGCAUGUGGACAAGUGAGAAGCCCCAUACAAUGCUGGUGGGCAUGUAAAAUAGCACAGCCAUCUUUGCAAAUAGUUCGCAGUUCCUUAAAAGGUUAAAUAUAGUCACCAUAUGACCCAGUAAUUCCACUCCUAGUUAUAUAUCCAAGAGAACUGAAAACAUACAUCCACACAAAAACUUGUACAUGAAGGUUCACAGCCACAUUAUUCAUAAUAGCCAGAAGAUGGAAACAGCUGAAAUGUCCAUCAACUGAUGAAUGGAUAAACAAAAUGGGGGAUUAUCCACACAGUGCAAUACCAUUCAGUAAUUAAAAAGAAAUGGAAUACUGAUACAUGCUGCAACAUGGAUGAACCUGGAAGACAUUGUGCUAAAUGACAGAAGCCAGACACAGAAAGCCAUACAUAAUACAAUUCUAUUUCUAUGAAGGGUCCAAAAUAGGCAAAUCCAUAGAUACAGAAAGGAGAGUAGUGGUUCUCCAGGGUAGUGGAAAAGGGGGUAGUGACCGCUAUUGGGUAUGAGGUUUCUUUUUGGGGUAAUGAAAAUGUUCUAAAAUUGAUUGUGCUGAUGGCUGCAAAACUCUGUGAAUAUAUAAAAAAAAUUAAUUGUAUAUUUUAAGUGGGUGAAUUACAUGGUACAUAAAUUUUACCCCAAUGAAGUUAUUUUAAAAAAUGAAACAAAGUGUGAAUGCAGGGAUGGCUAAAUAAACUGGGAGUGACGUCAGCCCCUGACACACGCAUUCUUGGUCUACAGCAUAAGGGCUGUUUCACGAGAGACACUAUCACUGGGGUUAUGAACAAGACAGAAGAAGGCAAAGAAAACAGGAGCCCAUCUCUAGCAAAAGAGGGCCAAAACCCAACUUCUCCUGUUAGAACAGCAGGGGGUUUCCUGGACAGAGACCCUAAAAAUAUCCAAGUACAUAUCUUAACACACACUAGACUAUAUCCCUGACAUAGAAAGGAUAACUUCUAGAAUCCUGCUAAAAAUUUAGAAGUGAAGAAAAGUUUACACCAUUAUCAAGCAAUCCUUAGCUCUAGGCUGAUAUUAUUAACACCCCUGUGUCCCAAGGCCAGGCAUGGUUGCCACGUAAUUGGCUGAGCUCAUUCAAUAAUUAGGUCCUCCCUUAGCCAUAGUCCCAACUUCAGUGGGGAAUGGAGCAGCACUAAAAGGUCUUGCUCGGCUGGGCACAGUGGCUCACGCCUGUAAUCCCAGCACUUUGGGAGGCCGAGACCGGCGGAUCACGAGGUCAGGAGAUCGAGACCAUCCUGGCUAACAUGGUGAAACCCCGUCUCCACUAAAAAUACAAAAAAUUAGCCGGGCGUGGUGGCGGGCACCUGUAGUCCCAGCUACUUGGGAGGCUGAGGCAGGAGAAUGGCUGCAACCCAGGAGGCAGAGCUUGCAGUGAGCCGAGAUCACGCCACUGCACUCCUGCCUGGGCUACAGAGUGAGACUCUGUCUCAAAAAAAAGGCCUUGCUCGUGCCCUCUUAAUGCAGACAGGGUCUAUUCUUACUCCUUCUUUUGGGUUCCGUAUCAAGACCCAACCAAAUCUUGGGUUCUUCUCUGAGAAACUUUGUUCCAGAGAUGAUAGCCGUGAAAGCAGCAAAACAUGGAGAAAGAAAUUCAGAAAUGUGGGGGCAGCCCUCAUUUCUCAUUUAUUCAUUCAAAAUUAAUCCCUUACUUCAUAAGGCCCUGGGGCAGCUGAGAGUACAGGGAACCGGCAGGCGGUUCAUGGGCUGGGGUGGAAAACUUUCAACGGUUCCAAAAGCUUGCUUUACUUCACAGUUGUUUACUUAUAUUUUUAAAACUUCCAGCCAAGGACUGUAACAUUUCUAUCAAACAGUCUUUUGUGAGAACAGAGUCACAACUGGGCUAUUUCAAAUAGGGGUGAAAAAAAUGACAAGACACAGGAACGAUUCCAUUAGUGGCCAGCACAGAGGGCGAUGACCAGCUGAGUGCUCUCAGCUGGAGCUCAGCUGUCCACCUUCUCCACUGCCUCGAAUCCAUAGUCAAGUUCCACAGCAGUCCUGGUUUACUUACUUGUAUUGAGCACCCGAGUCAAUAAGGUACACCUCAUCCAGGGACAAGGUCCUAUUCGUCUC